rnacentral:rRNA from 1 species
GGCAAGGGGGGUCGGUACUAGGCUUGCGUUCGAGCGGCAGCGGGAAAGUAGCUUGCUACUUUUGCCGGCGAGCGGCGGACGGGUGAGUAAUGCCUGGGGAUCUGCCCAGUCGAGGGGGAUAACAGUUGGAAACGACUGCUAAUACCGCAUACGCCCUACGGGGGAAAGGAGGGGACCUUCGGGCCUUUCGCGAUUGGAUGAACCCAGGUGGGAUUAGCUAGUUGGUGGGGUAAUGGCUCACCAAGGCGACGAUCCCUAGCUGGUCUGAGAGGAUGAUCAGCCACACUGGAACUGAGACACGGUCCAGACUCCUACGGGAGGCAGCAGUGGGGAAUAUUGCACAAUGGGGGAAACCCUGAUGCAGCCAUGCCGCGUGUGUGAAGAAGGCCUUCGGGUUGUAAAGCACUUUCAGCGAGGAGGAAAGGUUGACGCCUAAUACGUGUCAACUGUGACGUUACUCGCAGAAGAAGCACCGGCUAACUCCGUGCCAGCAGCCGCGGUAAUACGGAGGGUGCAAGCGUUAAUCGGAAUUACUGGGCGUAAAGCGCACGCAGGCGGUUGGAUAAGUUAGAUGUGAAAGCCCCGGGCUCAACCUGGGAAUUGCAUUUAAAACUGUCCAGCUAGAGUCUUGUAGAGGGGGGUAGAAUUCCAGGUGUAGCGGUGAAAUGCGUAGAGAUCUGGAGGAAUACCGGUGGCGAAAGCGGCCCCCUGGACAAAGACUGACGCUCAGUGCGAAAGCGUGGGGGAGCAAACAGGAUUAGAUACCCUGGUAGUCCACGCCCGUAAACGAUGUCGAUUUGGGAGGCUGUGUCGUUUGAGACGUGGCUUCCCGGAGCUAACGCGUUUAAAUCGACCGCCCUGGGGGGAGUACGGCCGCAAGGUUAAAAACUCAUAAUGAAUUGACUGGGCCCGCCACAAGCGGGUGGGAGCAUGUGGCUUUAAUUCGAAUGCCAACGGCGAAGGACUACCUGUCAUGACAUGUCUGGAAAUCUGUAAAGAAUACCGGAGUGCCUUCGGUAUCAAAACACAGGUGACUGCCAUGGCCUGGUCGUCAGCUUCGUUCAUGGAAAUGUUGGCUUAAGUUCCCGCUAG